UACAGAGGUCUCAAGCGUUUGUUCGGAUUCAUUGGGCGUAAAGGGUGCGUAGGCGGCGCGGUAAGUCGGGUGUGAAAUCUUGGAGCUUAACUCCGAAACUGCAUUCGAUACUGCCGUGCUUGAGGACUGGAGAGGAGACUGGAAUUUACGGUGUAGCGGUGAAAUGCGUAGAUAUCGUAAGGAAGACCAGUGGCGAAAGGCGGGUCUCUGGACAGUUCCUGACGCUGAGGCACGAAGGCCAGGGGAGCAAAACGGG
rnacentral:rRNA from 1 species